UGAUGAGACUUUUAGUUUUAUUAGAGUUUAGUUUGAUAUGAACUGUGUUAUCUCUGUUAGCUCUGAGGCUAACACGUGCGUGGAGACUGCUGGACAAAAAGUUAAAAAUGAGUUUUAUAAGUUUGAUUUUUACAACUAGAGGACAUGCAUUUAAUUAAACCAGCACAGAGUCACAUGAUCUCAGCUUUAAGAGAUAAUCAGCAUAAACUAAGGUAACUUGAUGUGGGUUCAUCUUCCUGCCAAUCAAAGCUGUUGAUCCUAAUGAAAGGUUCACGGCUCUCCUGUCCCUCCCUUGACGUCGAUCGGGCGCAUCAUGAGAAGGUCGUGACAUCUGCGAAGCGCGACUAGAAGAUGACAGUGCUGAGAUGAGUCGAACAGAUGAAAUCUGUGAGGAAGUUUGGGGCUGAUCCACGAGUCUCGACACGACAGUAUUCAAAUAAAAAAUGUUUAAUCUGAAACAUGUUAAUAAAAUUUAAGAAAUGUUGUAUAAAAUACACAAAGUGUAACAUAAUUCCUACUGGGAGCACCGUGCAUGCGUCGGGUCAAUCUGUGUUGAGACACGAUCUGUAAGGUUUCUUCUUCAAAUUGUCCAAGAAGACCUGCUCCUCUUGGAGGUACUCACGGUCCUGUGUGCAGGAAAAAAUAAACUUUACAGUUUGCAGAUGAUAGUUACUAAAAUGUUGGCCACAACAUCUACCUGUUUCCAUUUCAUCAUUAAAAGCAUCUAAAGAAACAAA